GGUUAAGCGACUAAGCGUACACGGUGGAUGCCUAGGCAAUCAGAGGCGAUGAAGGACGUGCUAAUCUGCGAUAAGCGUCGGUAAGGUGAUAUGAACCGUUACAACCGACGAUUUCCGAAUGGGGAAACCCAGUGCAACUCGUUGCACUAUCGUUUGAUGAAUACAUAGUCAAACGAAGCGAACCGGGGGAACUGAAACAUCUCAGUACCCCGAGGAAAAGAAAUCAACCGAGAUUCCCCUAGUAGCGGCGAGCGAACGGGGAGCAGCCCAGAGUCUUAAUCAGCAUUAGCAUCAGGAGAACGGUCUGGAAAG
rnacentral:rRNA from 1 species